rnacentral:rRNA from 1 species
AUUGAACGCUGGCGGCAGGCCUAACACAUGCAAGUCGGACGGUAACAGGAAGCAGCUUGCUGCUUUGCUGACGAGUGGCGGACGGGUGAGUAAUGUCUGGGAAACUGCCUGAUGGAGGGGGAUAACUACUGGAAACGGUAGCUAAUACCGCAUAACGUCUUCGGACCAAAGAGGGGGACCUUCGGGCCUCUUGCCAUCAGAUGUGCCCAGAUGGGAUUAGCUAGUUGGUGGGGUAACGGCUCACCAAGGCGACGAUCCCUAGCUGGUCUGAGAGGAUGACCAGCCACACUGGAACUGUGACACGGUCCAGACUGCUACGGGGGGCAGAAGUGGGGAAGAUUGCACAAUUGGCGCAAGCCUGAGGCAGCCAUGCCGCGUGUAUGAAGAAGGCCUUCGGGUUGUAAAGUACUUUCAGCGGGGAGGAAGGGGGAGUGGUUAAUAACCAUUUUCAUUGACGUUACCCGCAGAAGAAGCACCGGCUAACUCCGUGCCAGCCGCCGCAGUAA